rnacentral:rRNA from 1 species
UACAGAGGUCUCAAGCGUUGUUCGGAUUCAUUGGGCGUAAAGCGCGCGUAGGCGGCCCGGAAAGUCGGAUGUGAAACCUGGGGCUCAACCCCAGGCGUGCACCCGAUACUCCCGGGCUGGAGGCAGGUAGGGGAGAUCGGAAUCCUGGUGUAGCGGUGAAAUGCGCAGAUAUCAGGAGGAACACCGGUGGCGAAGGCGGAUCUCUGGGCCUUGCC